rnacentral:rRNA from 1 species
CCUAGGGGUGGCAGCAGUGGGGAAUAUUGGACAAUGGGCGAAAGCCUGAUCCAGCCAUGCCGCGUGUGUGAAGAAGGCCUUCGGGUUGUAAAGCACUUUCAGUGGGGAAGAAAGCCUUGGGGCUAAUACCCUCGAGGAAGGACAUCACCCACAGAAGAAGCACCGGCUAACUCCGUGCCAGCAGCCGCGGUAAUACGGAGGGUGCGAGCGUUAAUCGGAAUUACUGGGCGUAAAGCGCGCGUAGGCGGCCUGAUAAGCCGGUUGUGAAAGCCCCGGGCUCAACCUGGGAACGGCAUCCGGAACUGUCAGGCUAGAGUGCAGGAGAGGAAGGUAGAAUUCCCGGUGUAGCGGUGAAAUGCGUAGAGAUCGGGAGGAAUACCAGUGGCGAAGGCGGCCUUCUGGACUGACACUGACGCUGAGGUGCGAAAGCGUGGGUAGCAAACAGGAUUAGAUACCCUAGUAGUC